rnacentral:misc_RNA from 1 species
UAUAGAAACAAUAAUUACCUACAUGACGUAAAGUUAUUUUUAUCAUAAUUAUGAUCGAUUUAUUCAUUUAUUGUAUUACAAGCACAAUUUGAUAGUCUGUAGUUGUUAAUUUGUUAUUCAUAGGUCACUUCAGCACCAGUCAAUUGAGUAUAUUAUAUAUAAAAAACUGCCUUUAAUUUCUAUUAAAUAACAUGAAUAUAAUAACGAAUAUAACAUAAUAUAAUCUUGCAUUGAAUUAUAUACAAUAAAUAAAACUUAACGAAAAUAUGAAUAUAAAUACAACUUAAUAAGGAACGAAAUAUAAGCAACAGCGUGUGACGUCACGAAGGAACAUGUCGGAUCUUGUUCACAGUGUUCUUCGUUAAGACGCACAUCACUCACAUCAGUGUUUCAGUGUAUUAAUCUUUGAAGUGAUAAAGAAUUUUGUGUCAUAAAAAAGCGUUUCUUGAAAGUAUAAUUAUAUUUUUAUAUAACUUAAAAGUUAUUUGUCGAUUAGCAUAUUAAUGUAAAUAAUAUCAAGAUUAAAUAAGUUCAAUACAAAAACUGAACCAUAUUAAUAUUGUGUUAAACAAAAAAAAAGUGUACUAUAAACUUCUCUCUAGACGUUUGUAUCGGUGUGUAUUGUGUACAUAAUACGAACUUGUGGACUAAUUUAGCUAGAUAAAAAUUUGUGUUGUGUGUAAAGCUUCGUUUUUAUGUUUAAUUACGUAAAACAUUUAAGGUUAGUAAAAAUCAUUGAAAAAAUACAUUACAAUUCUUUACUAUUUUUAAAAUAAUUUUAUAUUUCAAUAAUCUGUUUUUUUCAGAUGGCUUUUAUGUAUGCAUUAGUUUUAUUUUUAAAUGAUUCAUCCAAUAAAGAAAUUGAUAUAUUGAAUAUCGUGGUACCGGAUGUAAAUAGCCUGAAUCAUUGUUAAAAAGUACUAAGUAUUGUAAAUUAUUACAAACGAUAGUUAAAGAGAAGAAAGAUAAAAAUAAGAAGAAAGAUAAAUAAAAAGAAAGAUAAGUUCAAAUAAGUGGCACAGCAGAACCUAAGAAAUAGAAGCCAAAAAAAUGUAACCAAAAAAUUGUGAAGAAACAAGCCUAAAAACAUAAUCUCGAAUGGUCAUCUACAUCAAUAGCGUCUUCGAUAUCUUCAUCACCACUGUCAUCGUUAUGUAAACCUAUGAAAAUAAAUAACUAAAAAAACGAAUUAAUGACAGUACUAACUACAUUGUUGGCUCAAAAGGAAAAAAAAUUAGUUCAUAAUCUACACCAUACCACCUUGAUCAUCUUCAUCAUCAACUAAAAGUAGAAAAAUAAGAAAAAUCAAUUCGAGUUUGAAGGACAUAAAUAUGCUUAUGGAAAUAGCACAUGAAGACAGUAUUAUCAGCAACAAUUGCUGAUAAUCCCUUUUCAUCAUCAUCAUAAAUCUGAAACAGAAGCUGAAAUGAAUAUAUUAGCAGCUAGAUCAUCAUCAACAAAAAAUACUGUAUCCAGUGAUUCUUUGCUGGAAUGUAUCAAACAUAAUAACAGUCUAUCAAAACAAUUAGCGAAUUUAAAAGUCCAUAUCUGCUGACGUUCCCAAAUCCUAUCUGAAAUAAAAAAAUAACAGUACUCAGCUGUUAGAUUUCAGUUUAUUAACAGAUCCUGAAGGAAAUCCAGUGGUCCAAAAAUUAGAAUUUCCGCUAUCAACAAUGGAAGAUAUUAUUUUGAUAAAUUCAAUGAGAAAUUAAAAGGCCAAAAAUAUAAAAAUAAAAUGAAUAAACGUAUAUACUUUUCUCUUGAUGGAAAAAAUACUUUUACCCAUAAUAUGGGAAAUAUUACUCGUGUUUAUAUAACAAGAGAUGUCAUAAUUAUGUAGAAGUUAAAGCAACUUCAAAAAAAAGUUUUCAAAGAUACGACUUUUUCACUUCUAUAAAAAGUAUGUUAAUCAUUAUAUAGUGCAGGAUUACUAUCAUUGAUACCUAAUUAAUUAUUUCUUAAUUAUAUGUUAUUAUUUUAUACCUAAUAAUAAUUAUUUUUUACUAUUACUAAUUUAAUUACGUACAUGAUUAAUUUAAAUUUUGUAUUUAAGCUGCAGUAAGACAGAAAUUCGAAAAGAAUCAAGAAAGUAUUUUCGAUAAUAAAUUCCCUCAAGCAUUGUCUGCAGUAUUGAAUAAUGCUAAUAUAUUAAUAAAGAUUGGGAUGGGUACAAGGUAUUCAGGAUCAAAAAACUACCAUCUAAUGAAGAUAAAUAAAAACAACUAAUCGCUUUUAAUUUAUUUACUUUUUUAAAAUCUUUUUUUUUUGCCAAGCAAACAAAAAGAAAAAUUAAUUCAUAAUAUUUAAUAACAAUCAUUAUUAUUAUUAACUUUAACAUAAAAAUAAUUGAUAUUUAAAGUAAAAACAAAAAUAAAUAAUACAUUUGAAAAAAAUAAAUGGAAAUAAAUAUGUUUUUUUUUUUCAAUCGGAUAAGUUUUAUUUCUGUUUAAGUGCACAAUAAAGUGUAUUGUUAUGUUAUGUUAAGUUAAAUAUAUAUAAUAUGUUAUUUUAAAUAUACAUAGUAUGUUAAGUAACAUAAUAUAUUUCUUUUUUUUUUUUUGACGUGACGUCUAAUAAAUCGAUUAACGCCGGCUUCGUUACGCUCAUAUGUAUGCUUGUGCCGCAUCUAUCUGAUCGGCCUAUGCAUCCGAGGAGAUGUUUUGUUACGAUGGUUUGCAGACAACCAAGUUUUUUAAUAAACAAUUUUGUCAAGACUGUACAUUCGUGUUUUAUUUAAAAGGACCGCUCUGGGCAUACUUGAUUUGGAUCAAGCAACCAAGGACCGGACCGUGCAUGCCUGAUCAGGACUAGAUAAGGCAUGUAACGCAAAUGAUGUAUCUGGACCUGACCAGGGAAACCUGAUCAGGUCCAGAUCAGGUAUGACCUGAGAUCAGGAAAACCUGAUCAGGUCCA